GAUGAACGCCGGCGGCGUGCCUAAUACAUGCAAGUCGAGCGAACGGACGAGAAGCUUGCUUUUCUGAUGUUAGCGGCGGACGGGUGAGUAACACGUGGAUAACCUACCUAUAAGACUGGGAUAACUUCGGGAAACCGGAGCUAAUACCGGAUAAUAUUUUGAACCGCAUGGUUCAAAAGUGAAAGACGGUCUUGCUGUCACUUAUAGAUGGAUCCGCGCUGCAUUAGCUAGUUGGUAAGGUAACGGCUUACCAAGGCAACGAUGCAUAGCCGACCUGAGAGGGUGAUCGCCCACACUGGAACUGAGACACGGUCCAGACUCCUACGGGAGGCAGCAGUAGGGAAUCUUCCGCAAUGGGCGAAAGCCUGACGGAGCAACGCCGCGUGAGUGAUGAAGGUCUUCGGAUCGUAAAACUCUGUUAUUAGGGAAGAACAUAUGUGUAAGUAACUGUGCACAUCUUGACGGUACCUAAUCAGAAAGCCACGGCUAACUACGUG
rnacentral:rRNA from 1 species